rnacentral:tRNA from 1 species
GGGAAUAUGGUGUAACGGCUGCACAGCUCCCUUUUAAGGAGCCAAGUCUGGGUUCAAAUCCCAGUGUUCCCACCA